rnacentral:misc_RNA from 1 species
GAUGAAGAACGCAGCGAAAUGCGAUAAGUAAUGUGAAUUGCAGAAUUCCGUGAAUCAUCGAAUCUUUGAACGCACAUUGCGCCCCUCGGUAUUCCGGGGGGCAUGCCUGUUCGAGCGUCAUUACAACCCUCAAGCUCUGCUUGGUAUUGGGCUCUGCUGGGACCGGCAGGCCUUAAAAUCAGUGGCGGCGCCACUCGGCUUCAAGCGUAGUAAUUCUUCUCGCUUCGGAGACCCGGGUGCGUGCUAGCCAGCAACCCCCAACUUUCUUAGGUUGACCUCGGAUCAGGUAGGGAUACCCGCUGAACUUAAGCAUAUCAAUAAGCGGAGGA